rnacentral:rRNA from 1 species
AUUGAACGCUGGCGGCAGGCCUAACACAUGCAAGUCGAGCGAGCGGCGGACGGGUGAGUAAUGUCUGGGAAACUGCCUGAUGGCGGGGGAUAACUACUGGAAACGGUAGCUAAUACCGCAUACCAUCAGAUGUGCCCAGAUGGGAUUAGCUAGUGGUUGGGGUAAUGGCCCACCUAGGUGACGAUCCCUAGCUGGUCUGAGAGGAUGACCAGCCACACUGGAACUGGUACACGGUCCAGACUCCAAAGGGAGGCAGCAGUGGGGAAUAUUACACAAGGGGCGCAAGCCUGAUGCAGCCAUGCCGCGUGUGUGAAGAAGGCCUUCGGGUUGUAAAGCACUGUCAGCGGGGAGGCGUUACCCGCAGAAGAAGCACCGGCUAACUCCGUGCCAGCAGCCGCGGUAAUUC